GUUGUCUUAUCUGUAACCUUUGUUCUAGCUUUUGGAGAGGUUAUUCCGCAAGCAAUAUGUACCAGAUAUGGAUUAGCUGUCGGCGCUAAUUUUGUGUGGCUUGUGCGCAUAUUAAUGAUCAUCUGCUAUCCGAUUGCUUAUCCUAUCGGGAAGAUUCUGGAUUGGGCACUCGGACAUAAUGAAUCUGCUCUUUUCAGACGUGCUCAGUUGAAAGCUCUUGUCUCGAUUCACAGCAAAGAGGCUGGUAAAGGUGGGGAGCUAACUCAUGAU
rnacentral:misc_RNA from 1 species